AGGAAACUAUCCUACUCUAAUAAUUCUCAGGCAAUUGUAACUUUGUGAUUUGCAAACAUUCAUGCAUGCUUUGGCCACAUUAAUAUAAUUUACUUCUUUUAUACUUCCAUUUGAAAGAGUUGUAUCAAUAGCAAGAAUCGAAGGAAAUGUCAGGAUGCAUAUUCAUACUUCAAUCAAUUCACGGUAACAAAUCUCUUUUGUUGAAUUUCAUUAGGAUUACACCAGUCCAGAAACGGGAGAAGUAUUCUUCCAUGAGGAGGAAAAAGGAGGAGACGAAGAAGGAGAAGAAGGAGAAGGAAAAGAAGAAGAAGAAGAAGGAAAAGAAGAAGAUGAAGAUGAAGAUGAAGAGGAAGAGGAAAUGGAUGAAGAUGAGAAAGAGGAAGCAAAACUGAAUUCUGCAGCUGCAAAAGCAGACAAUCCAUUCCAGGAAUCAACUUGUCCGUGGAUGAUAUAUUCAAGGCAAGAAGAAAUAAGGAGAAUUUUACAGGCAUUGAGAGGACAACCAGAAGAAAAUCCGAAUAAAAGAUGCACUCGUUGUAAAGCAAUGGGACAUGUUUGUGUGGACUGCCCCCUGCCAAUUCGCUACAAACCUCGGGCAAGUUUAUGCACGGAUUGUUAUUUAUCUCUCAUUUUCAUUGUCUUUCCACCAUCUUGUUUUUAAAACAUCAGAUGCAGGGGUAUGUAACUCGGGAAAACCCUUUGCAGCCAAAUCAGGCACCCUCUCCUGGACCGGGAAAAGCAACAAAUCCAUCCAUGGCUGCAUGUGCUGGUUCAAGUUCUCAAAGAGUUGAUCCUGAGACUGUGGUUCCAUCCGUUUCAAUUGGAAGUGCUAGCCAACUUGGGAAAAGGAAAUCUGAAUCAAGAGGCGACAUGGGCUCUCCAACUAGAAAGCUCUGAGAUGCUGUUGUUAAUAUAUUGUCCUUGUGUGGUUUAACAUUUGAUGGCUUUGAGCUCCUUCCAUAGCCAGAAAGGUUUCUUUUUAUUUUGAUAUUGAAGCAGGACUUCCUUCUCUCUGUCCUAAAUGGAUGUUAAGAACCUGGACUAUUAGGCUAAAUAUGGCAAGUGAACGAGAUGGAA